AGAUUAAGUUAUUAAGGGCGCACGGUGGAUGCCUUGGCACUAGAAGCCGAUGAAGGACGUUACUAACGACGAUAUGCUUUGGGGAGCUGUAAGUAAGCUUUGAUCCAGAGAUUUCCGAAUGGGGAAACCCAACAUGAGUUAUGUCAUGUUAUCGAUAUGUGAAUACAUAGCAUAUCAGAAGGCACACCCGGAGAACUGAAACAUCUUAGUACCCGGAGGAAGAGAAAGAAAAUUCGAUUCCCUUAGUAGCGGCGAGCGAAACGGGAAGAGCCCAAACCAACAAGCUUGCUUGUUGGGGUUGUAGGACACUCUAUACGGAGUUACAAAGGACGACAUUAGACGAAUCAUCUGGAAAGAUGAAUCAAAGAAGGUAAUAAUCCUGUAGUCGAAAAUGUUGUCUCUCUUGAGUG
rnacentral:rRNA from 1 species